rnacentral:rRNA from 1 species
GAUGAACGCUGGCGGCGUGCCUAAUACAUGCAAGUCGAGCGAACGGACGAGAAGCUUGCUUCUCUGAUGUUAGCGGCGGACGGGUGAGUAACACGUGGAUAACCUACCUAUAAGACUGGGAUAACUUCGGGAACCGGAGCUAAUACCGGAUAAUAUUUUUAACCGCAUGGUUCAAAAGUGAAAGACGGUCUUGCUGUCACUUAUAGAUGGAUCCGCGCUGCAUUAGCUAGUUGGUAAGGUAACGGCUUACCAAGGCAACGAUGCAUAGCCGACCUGAGAGGGUGAUCGGCCACACUGGAACUGAGACACGGUCCAGACUCCUACGGGAGGCAGCAGUAGGGAAUCUUCCGCAAUGGGCGAAAGCCUGACGGAGCAACGCCGCGUGAGUGAUGAAGGUCUUCGGAUCGUAAAACUCUGUUAUUAGGGAAGAACAUAUGUGUAAGUAACUGUGCACAUCUUGACGGUACCUAAUCAGAAAGCCACGGCUAACUACGUG